rnacentral:tRNA from 1 species
GCACUGGUGGUUCAGCGGUAGAAUUCGCACCUUCCACGCGGGAGACCAGGGUUCGAUGCCCAGCCAGUGCU